GACGUAGGGGGCGAGCGUUGUCCGGAGUUAUUGGGCGUAAAGCGCGCGCAGGCGGCCUCGCGCGCCCGACGUGAAAUCCCUCGGCUUAACCGGGGAACUGCGUCUGAUACUGGAUGGCUAGAGGUUGGGAGAGGGAUGCGGAAUUCCAGGUGUAGCGGUGAAAUGCGUAGAUAUCUGGAGGAACACCGGUGGCGAAGGCGGCAUCCUGGACCAAUUCUGACGCUGAGGAGCGAAAGCCAGGGGAGCAAACGGG
rnacentral:rRNA from 1 species